rnacentral:lncRNA from 10 species
GCUCAGGGUGGUCUCAGGCCCAGAUGGCUCUACUGGUCCUCAGCGGCAUCACCAGGUGAUACUGGCUCCACUGCCACCGUGAUGGACCCAGCUAUAAGCAGACCCUCUUCACAGCGGGAUCAUCCCAGUGAUUGAGGCCCAGGCUGCAGGUUGUGGGGCGUGGAGUUCCUGGAAGAACACGGCUGAGUGUGAGCUGGAAAAAUGUAAGUGGGUGGCCUUCUGGGGGCCUCCCUGGAACCCGUGCCUUUGACUAGUGGUUCUCAAAGAGGGGGCUGUGGCUGCAGCUGCAGGGGGCCCAGAGGCCCCUCCUGCCUCUCACCAGCAGUCCAAGUGUUCAGGUGCCUUCCUGGGCACUUAGCCAUGACAACAUGCAAUUCCUGGUCUUCCCUGUCUUCUUUCAUCUCAGGCCUCCUUACUGAUACCCAAUUAUGUAAGCGCCAAAGUUAUUAACACAAUGCUUAUGUGUGUCUUCCCAGCUCUCAGCUGAAGCCCUUGCUGCCUCCAAAUCCAGUUAGACAGCCUGUGGAAGUCUAGAGAUCUGGCUGAUGUCUCCAAGCUGCCAGGGCUGACUUUCUGAUGCUUCUCUCUGUGCCACUGGGCUCCCACUACCUCUCACCUGCCCCAGGGUCCACAGGGGCUCACUCAAGGGCCAAUUAGAGCACAGAGCUCAGGCCCCUCCCUAGCUCCCACCCCCAACCCCCUUGUACUCUGUGAGCUGGGAGGUUGGGGGCGUUGGUAGAGGUAGGAGGUUAUUUUCAUCUGCUCGAGCUACCAUAAUAAAAUACCACAAACCGUGUGGCUCAAAUGAGAGAACUUUAUUUUCUCACAGUUCUGGAGGCUGGAAAGUCUAAGAUCAAUGUCCUUGCAGGUUCAGUUUCUAGUGAGGGCUCUCUUCCUGCCUUGCAGAUGGCCACCUUCUCACUGGCAGAGAAAGAGAGAGAGAGACAGAGAGAGAGAAGGAUAGAUCAUACUCGGGGUCUCCAGUGUCUCUUUUUAUAAGGACACUAAUACUAUUGGCUCCAGGCCCCAAACUUGUGACCACAAUUAACCAUAACAUACCUCUAUAAAAUCCCUACCUCCAGAUACAGUCACACUGGGGGAAGGGCUGGAGCUUUACACAAUAAUUUGGAGGAGGGGACACAAACAUUCAGCCUGUAACAGUGAUGUUCACGCAGAGAGGUCACACUGCAAACAGAGUGUUUCAAUUACCUCGCUGUUCUUUUCUCCCUGUUCACCCAGAGCAGUGGACACAUCUUCCAGCUGCCAUACUUUGGCUCCAACCAUCCCUAGUAUAGUCUGAAACCUGAAGUCCUCAACAGUCUGACUGGGCAGGAAAGGCUCCACUGUAGAAGCCUUCGUAACCUCCCAGCUUCAGAAGCAUAAUCUGAAGCUGUUUUCCUAGUAUCACCUCUCUCCUCCCCAGUGUCCUAUAUCCUGC